UGGAAGUGAAAGUCAGGGUCCCUCAGGAUUAAAGACUCUUAGGCUUAAGGGCUGUUAGAUUUCCAGAGAAACCUAUCAAAUAACCUUUUUUUUUUUUUUCCACAAAAGUGGACACGGAUCUUGGGAAUGGAAGGUACUUGUAUAUCCAUAUACAGGUUUGGCCCAAACCAAAGCCAGGAGGUGUUGGGGGAGGACUGGGCUUCUACCCCAGUCUCCAUGAUGGCCCUCAGCCUUAAUUAGCAGCCUCCUGCAAAAUGAAACAACGUGCUUGUUCCAAAGGGUACGAUAAAGGUCCUGACAGCUGCCUCUCACUUCCAAUCAGAUGUGGUCCUCAAAUCCCUGCAUAGAGAAACUCACCGAAACAGCACAGAGAAACACACAGACAUGCUCGCAAAGCACACAGAGACCUACCCAGAUAGGUACGACACACACACACACACACACACACACACACACACGGUUGGAGGUUCUGCUUGGAGUCACACGGCACACAAGAUUGCUGUCAAGAAAGCCUGUCCAUAAAUAGUGGCUGUACACCCUCCUCACUUACAAUUCAGGGAAAAGAAGAGCGGGGAAGAAAAGGAGGAAAAACAACAACAACAAAAGCCAUGACAGAGAGCGGGAAAAGGCAGAGACUGAAAGCGAAGGAGCGUCGGAGGAGGAGGGCGAGAGGGCUGGAGAGGAGGGCUCAUCCGAGGAGGUGGGCGAGGAGGGCUCAUCCGAGGAGGUGGGCGGGGCGGGCUGUGCGGAGGGUGCGGCCCGCGCGGUACCCGCCCCGGCGAGGCGCUGGGGAGGCCCGGGAGGGGGGAAUAAACGGGGCCUGGGGGACGGUAGGAGCCUCCGUGCGGAGACCACUGUUAAAGGCCACAGACAUUUAUGCAGUGUGUGAUUCUUUCUAAAACAACUCCCUGGAAGAGAGGACAUUUAAUUCAACAAUUUAUUGGCCACCUACUGUGCACCAGGCAGUAAACUUGGAACUGGGGCUACUGGGUUACAGCAGUGACCAAGACAGAGGUCCCUGUUCUUAAGGAGCAAGUGAGGGCAACAGAAAAG
rnacentral:lncRNA from 1 species